rnacentral:rRNA from 1 species
UACGGGGGGGGUAAGCGUUGUUCGGAAUUACUGGGCGUAAAGGGCUCGUAGGCGGCCAACUAAGUCAGACGUGAAAUCCCUCAGCUUAACUGGGGAACUGCGUCUGAUACUGGAUGGCUUGGAUUCGGGAGAGGAAUGCGGAAUUCCAGGUGUAGCGGUGAAAUGCGUAGAUAUCAAGAGGAACACCUGAGGCGAAGGCGGGUUGCUAGGCUGACACUGACGCUGAGGCGCGAAAGCUAGGGUAGCAAACGGG